UACGUAGGGGGCAAGCGUUGUCCGGAUUUAUUGGGCGUAAAGAGCUCGUAGGCGGCUCGGUAAGUCGGAUGUGAAACCUCCAGGCUCAACCUGGAGACGCCAUCUGAUACUGCCGUGGCUUGAGUCCGGUAGAGGAGCAGGGAAUUCCUGGUGUAGCGGUGAAAUGCGCAGAUAUCAGGAGGAACACCGAUGGCGAAGGCAGGUCUCUGGGCCACUACUGGCGCUGAGAAGCGAAAGCAUGGGGAGCGAACAGG
rnacentral:rRNA from 1 species